AUCGAUGCCCAUACUAUCCUGAGUGCACCCAAUCUCAUCUGAUCUUGGAAGCUGAGCAGGGUCGGGCCUGGAUGGGAGAAAUAGCAAAUUCUAUGAGAAUGAUCUGAUACUUAUAAAUG
ensembl:rRNA 5S_rRNA 5S ribosomal RNA